CUGUGAGCAUUGACAGAGGAAUAGUAAGAUUACAGCGACUUGGCAGAGAGCAGGGGUUAGGUGUGAACCCUGCAAGGAGUUUGAUCUGAACUCACCCCUAGUGCUUUUUUGCUGAACUAACAGUAGGCAAAAACGGAACCACCGUUAACGGUUUGAGGGUCACCAUGAGAAUGGUGGAAUGAUAGGUGGUACCGCGAGUUUUCGUCCUAUAC
rnacentral:ncRNA from 1 species